rnacentral:tRNA from 1 species
UGUCCUGUGGCUUGGUUAAACACCACAACUGCCUACUGAGCAGUAGGUCAUUGGUUUGAACCCGACCGGGGCAA